GUUGUUCGGAGUUACUGGGCGUAAAGCGUGCGUAGGCGGUUUUGUAAGUUUGGUGUGAAAUCUCCCGGCUCAACUGGGAGGGUGCGCCGAAAACUGCAAGGCUGGAGUGUGGGAGAGGUAGGCGGAAUUCCUGGUGUAGCGGUGAAAUGCGUAGAUAUCAGGAGGAACACCUGUGGUGUAGACGGCUUACUGGACCAUGACUGACGCUGAGGCACGAAAGCGUGGGGAGCAAACAGG
rnacentral:rRNA from 1 species